GAGGGGGGGAAUCGUUUCACCAUGGUGAAACGAGGUCGCGUGGUUUCCCAGACCUGGGAAACUGGGUGAAACAGCCAUUGAGGCGUUUCAUGGCUUCCUCCCUGAUCCCGUGCGCGGGCGGAGGCGCGGAGCUUCGAGGUCGUCAACUUCCCGCGCGCCCAUGCAAUCUUCCCGCGCUCCACCACUAUAUCGUGCGCAAUCUCUCUGCCUGCCCUCCAUCGCCCUCCCUCUGACGCCGCUAUUCAUCAUCCAUGCCUGCCGCAUCAAGCUAGGGCAAAGGUGCGAGAUCCAGCUUUCAUGGAUCCGUCGAUGCCUGGGCGGCGCCCACCUGGUAGAGGAGGGAAACAACGCGGUGGAAAACAGCUCGGAUUGAAGACCACAUCGCCGCAUCUUCCAGCUCCGCCUCCAAGUUUGACCGCAUCGACGCCGCCGCCUUCGGUCCCCCUGCCGCCGCCGCCGGUUUCUUCUUCUUCAUCGCCAAAUCCGACCGCAUCGGCACCGAAUCCGACCGUAGCUGUUCCGACUACAUCUCCUACUGCUCCGGCUUCGUCCUGUACUGCGUCGGCUUCGUCUCCUGCUGCCCCGACCUUCGCCGUGCCGCCAAGGCCACCUCAAGGUGCAGGAUGGGGCGCCAUUCCCCCAAAUUUUUCAUCUUUUCAUGGAAACCAACAAGGCUCUAGCUCAUGGGUGACAAUGUGACAGUGAUAAGUCAUCUAAGUUGUUGAUUUAGGAGUAAGGGAACUAUGAGGUGCAGUUUACUGUCUUUUUGGAGGCGAGGGUUGGAUGAAGAUGAGCUCAUAUAUAUUAUAUUUUAGUGAUGAUUUGCUGCUGCUGCGAGAGGCUAUCUGAACCUGUUGCUGUGACCUGAACUGUUCUGGAAGUGAUGUUUGUUGAAGAUGAGCUCUGUGAUCUGAACUGUUAUCUAUAUGUUCUGUGAUCUGAACUGUUAUCUUGAUCACUACUAUGUGAGUGGAGUUUCAGACUUUGCACUAUGUGAAUGCAGUUCCAGAACGCCAUGUCGAUCAAUGCUAUUUAUCAUGUCGCUCUUGUGUUUGUAUUGCAGUUUUGUUGUGAUUUGUGAAAAGUAAAUGUCUCAUGCUUCAA